AGUGAACGCUGGCGGUAGGCCUAACACAUGCAAGUCGAACGGCAGCACAGUAAGAGCUUGCUCUUACGGGUGGCGAGUGGCGGACGGGUGAGGAAUACAUCGGAAUCUACUUUUUCGUGGGGGAUAACGUAGGGAAACUUACGCUAAUACCGCAUACGACCUAGGGGUGAAAGCAGGGGAUCUUCGGACCUUGCGCGAUUGAAUGAGCCGAUGUCGGAUUAGCUAGUUGGCGGGGUAAAGGCCCACCAAGGCGACGAUCCGUAGCUGGUCUGAGAGGAUGAUCAGCCACACUGGAACUGAGACACGGUCCAGACUCCUACGGGAGGCAGCAGUGGGGAAUAUUGGACAAUGGGCGCAAGCCUGAUCCAGCCAUACCGCGUGGGUGAAGAAGGCCUUCGGGUUGUAAAGCCCUUUUGUUGGGAAAGAAAAGCAGCAGGUUAAUACCCCGCUGUUCUGACGGUACCCAAAGAAUAAGCACCGGCUAACUUCGUG
rnacentral:rRNA from 1 species